rnacentral:snoRNA from 1 species
GGAGUGUGCUCAGAGCAAGGGGCAUGAAAAAAUGGCUCCUCUGUUGAUAACAUACCCAAAAGGAAUCUGGGUUAAUUGUAAAAGGGGCAUAAAACUUGUGGCCUUCCUAAGAACAAAUGUCUAACAUGC